GACGAACGCUGGCGGCGUGCUUAACACAUGCAAGUCGAACGGAAAGGCCCUGCUUUUGUGGGGUGCUCGAGUGGCGAACGGGUGAGUAACACGUGAGUAACCUGCCCUUGACUUUGUGAUAACUUCAGGAAACUGGGGCUAAUACCGGAUAGGAGCUCCUGCUGCAUGGUGGGGGUUGGAAAGUUUCGGCGGUUGGGGAUGGACUCGCGGCUUAUCAGCUUGUUGGUGGGGUAGUGGCUUACCAAGGCUUUGACGGGUAGCCGGCCUGAGAGGGUGACCGGCCACAUUGGGACUGAGAUACGGCCCAGACUCCUACGGGAGGCUACAGUGGGGAAUAUUGCACAAUGGGCGGAAGCCUGAUGCAGCAGCGCCGCGUGCGGGAUGACGGCCUUCGGGUUGUAAACCGCUUUCGCCUGUGGCGAAGCGUGAGUGACGGUAAUGGGUAAAGAAGCACCGGCUAACUACGUG
rnacentral:rRNA from 1 species